CGGCCUUUGCAGUGACUCCCCAUCAAGAUUUCAUACUUUCUACGAGCCAUUGACUGCCUCGUGCCAUUCAUUCUUCUUUUUUCCUAACAAGAGAUUGUAUUGGGUGUCUUCUUUUCCUGCUCCACCACUGAGUGUUUUAGGAAGAUAAUACGGAUUUUGGUUUCUUCCUUAUGAAUCAUGGGGCGAUGCAUCUGAACCUGAUGAUGAGAAUUGUGCAUCACCUGCAGUUUCUGGACCUUGAGCUGACUGCGUUAUGUGUGGCCAUAUAGCUAAAUUCUGACUCAGGGAAUGUGACACAAGUGAUGCAAGCUAUUUCCCAGCUUGAUCAUAUAAUAACAUUACCUAAGGCUCUUCUUUAAAUAUGAAGAAGAAUGUUUCCAACAGAAGAUAUAACCAUUAUCUCACUGAAUGAGCAGUUGUGACUAUAAUGUAUAUACUUCUAUCUUCUCACACCACCAAACUGACAGUCAAACAAGAGAGUUAAAGCACUGCCUGAAAUCAGUACUUGAAUGAAAAGAUAAAGUGUGGACCAGGGAAGAGGACUGCUAGAUAGACUUUGGGAUGUUCACACUUACAUAAAGGAGCUUUUUGUUAUUUAUCUGGAAUUCAAACUCAACUGGGUUGCCUAUGUUUUUGUUUUCUGAAUCUGGAAACUCUUAUU
rnacentral:lncRNA from 1 species